rnacentral:rRNA from 1 species
CAGUCGUACCUUCGGGUAAUCAGCCUUUCGGGUGCGAUUCUGUGGAGUGUGAGGAGCUUAACACCUUCAUGCUUUGCAUAUUUGUGCUCUUGGGUGUACUUGCCCGUGUGGUUGGUUAACAUCAAUUUUGGUUAUCAUAAAAUGAUUGGAGGAAUGUAGCUUCGAUCUCGUAUUGAAGUGUUAUAGCCUUUGGUAGAUGUAAUGAUCGAGAUCGAGGAUUGCAACGAAUACCCUUUUGGGCUAUCCGUCUGAUCUCUGAUACGUUGCCUCGGUAACGAAAGCGUGCUUACGGUAUUGAGGUAUAACGGUCAAAAGGUUAGAACGUGAUUACA